AAAUAUCACCCGCACUUUUUUCCCUUCCUCUCCUUUCAUCCUCCGCCUCUUUUUCCUCCUCCUGCCGCUCGCCGGAGCACCGCCGCGGGCGCUCCCUCCUUCGCCUUGGUUUGGUUCCGACGCCUACGCGGGAUCCGUAGUCUGCGCCGUUCCGGAGUUCUGGAGCCACCUCCGUGCGCUCGGGAGCGCGGCGUUACCGGAGCAGGGGCGGGCGCGGAUCGGAGCGCGCUGGGGACGCCGGUAGCGGCCGCCUCAGGGGAAUGUGGGUCCCCGUUUGAGGAGGCCUCGGGCCGGGAGGCCGCGCCGAGAUGAUACGAUCAAGGAGACCGGUUCUCUUGAGCUGGGGACUGCAAAGGAUACGUGGCUUCAGUCAUUGUGCUCUGGAUUUUUAGAUCAAGGGACCAAUGCCUCCAGGAUAAUGGCGGGGAAGGACGGAGUUUCUCUGAAAUCUGUGUCAUACGGGGCAAGGCUGCGCAGGAGUUGUGAUGCAUCACUGAGAGAGGCAGGGUCCAUGAGAGACCCAUUCUUGAAACACAGAGUAAAGAAAUUUGAUCUAUCUAGCCUAGAUUGGAUUGAUGAGAUUCCAGAUUGCCCUGUAUUUUCUCCAUCAACCCAGGAGUUUGAGGAUCCUCUGGUUUAUCUCAGCAAAAUUGCCCCUGUGGCUGCAAAAUAUGGUAUAUGCAAGAUCAUUUCACCUGUCUCUGCUUCAGUACCUGCGGGCACUGUACUAAUGAAGGAACUAGGUGGGAUUAAGUUUACGACCAGAGUUCAGCCUCUCCGUCUUGCUGAAUGGACCAAGGAUGACAAGUUUGCCUUCUUUAUGAGUGGAAGAAAGUACACAUUUCGGGAGUUCGAGAAGAUGGCAAAUAAAGAAUUUGUACGGAGAUACUCUAGUGCUGCUUGUCUUCCAUCAAGGUAUAUGGAAGAGGAGUUUUGGCAUGAAAUAGCUUUUGGCAAGAUGGAGUCUGUUGAGUAUGCAUGUGAUAUCGAUGGUAGCGCAUUUUCUUCUUCUUCUCAUGACCAACUUGGGAGAAGCAAAUGGAACUUGAAGAGAUUCUCACGGUUGCCGAACUCUACGCUGCGUCUUCUCAGAGCUGCAGUUCCAGGAAUAACAGAUCCAAUGCUGUAUAUUGGGAUGCUCUUUAGUAUGUUUGCCUGGCAUGUGGAAGAUCAUUACCUGUACAGUAUUAACUAUCACCACUGUGGAGCCCCCAAAACAUGGUAUGGUAUUCCAGGAAGUGCUGCUUCUGAUUUUGAGAAAGUGGUACGUGAGCAUGUAUAUGAUCACGAAAUUUUAUCAGGUGAAGGGGAAAGUGCAGCAUUUGAUGUUCUGUUGGGAAAGACUACAAUCUUCCCACCUAAUAUUUUACUGGAUCAUCAUGUUCCAGUCUAUAGAGCCAUACAGAAACCUGGAGAGUUUGUUGUAACGUUUCCCCGAGCUUAUCAUUCUGGUUUCAGCCAUGGUUUCAAUUGUGGUGAGGCAGUAAAUUUUGCUACGGGCGAAUGGUUUCCUCUAGGAGCAGUUGCCAGUCAACAUUAUGCACUUCUUAAGAGGAUACCAGUAUUACCUUAUGAGGAGCUUCUUUGUAAAGAAGCAACAUUUUGUGCUAAUGAGUUUUCCUUGUUUGAACACGGAAAUGUAACAUUAACUGGAGGCACACAUAUACAGAGCUAUAUGAAGGGUCCCUUUGUGCAGUUGAUGCGGUUCCAACACCGUGUUCGUUGGUUGCUUGUGAAAAUGGGUGCCCGUACAUGCUAUAAAGCAGACAUUGAUGCCACAGUUCUCUGUGGGAUAUGCAAACGUGACUGCUAUGUAGCUCACAUUAUGUGUAACUGCAGAGCAGAUGCAAUUUGCCUUUGUCAUGAGGAAGAGAUUAGUAAGUGUUCUUGCAACUGCGACCGUGUUGUUUUUGUGAGGAAAGACAUCUUUGAAUUGGAGGAAAUAUCAAAGAAGUUUGAGGAAAUUGGAAUACUGGAUGAAGUAGGAAAACAAAUGUCUCAAAAUGAUGGCUAUAACAUGCAUCCUUACUUGUCCAAUGGCAUUGACCACAAUGCUAAAUACUUUCCAUACUGCAAGAUCCUAAUUGAUACAUCCCCUGAACUUCGUACCUUUUCAGAGGUAGAUGUUCUUGGAUAUGAUCUGAAUAAGCCAUAUCCUACAUUAUCAACAAUAACUUCUGCACAUGGACCCCAUGAGUAUUCUACACAAAGUGAUGAGUGUACUAGUUCUAAGCAAAGAACAUACUCUAGCUCAUGUCCAGAGAAUGGAACGCUUAGUGUUUAUCCUUUAUGUACAUCUGAUCAAGCAUUCUCAACUGACAAAUUGGCUGCUCAGGAUACUGAUGAUUCUGACUGUGAGGUAUUUAGAGUUAAGAGACGAUCUAGCAUAGUUAUGGAGAAAAGAUGUUCAGAAGAUCUAACAAUAACUUUAACUGAGAAUCAGGCUUUAAGACGGUUAAAGAAAGCCUGUUCAGAUGACAGACAAGAGAACGCAACUGAAUCACAUUGCCUUGACUUCAUUUCUGGAAAUACAGAUAAUUUCAUCAAUCGAAGCAAACAAAAAAUGAAUGUAGAUCAGCUAGAUGCAAAAAAUGUGGAAGAUGAAGUUGCUUUCGGCCAGAAAUCUAUCGGUUGCAGUUACCUGUCUCCAUCUGUAGAUCUUGGGCCGAAACGCUUGAAAAUUCGUGGCCCAUCCUUCCCAAGCACUGUUUCUGAAGUGGAAAUAUCUUAUAGGUUCCAGGAGGACAUUGACUUGGCUAGUCAGCAUACUCAAUGAAGUAUGCUGCUCUUGGUGCUAACUGCUAACAUCAAUCGUAACUUCUGGAAGAUGAAAGCUCUUUUUUCAUUGGAUGGUUCAGAACUGAUUCUAUCUACAGGUCUCCAAUGGAGGCACUGUUAUGGCUGGAUUUUAUGAUUCUAUUGCCAGGUCAUAGGCGAUUUUUCUGAUGAUCCGUAGCUGCACAUCACUUAUUUCCUUUCUUUGUAGGUUUUCCACUGUGAAUAGGAAUUCACUUCCACUGACUGUCAUGUUGCAUAUGCAACAAAGUAGAUGCUUUGUGAUAAUGUUGAAGCGCAUGCAAAUGCUCGAAUCAAUCAUGUUCUAUAGAAAGUGGAUACAACAGAAGGAAUAAAGGAGCAACUUCUUGCUGUUAGAUCCUGGUCUACUGAAAUCUGUCACAUAAGAUUUACUUUCUCUUUUAAGUUCAGGAUAUAAUAUUUGGUUAGACAAUUAUUUUAAUUUGAUCAUAUGUCUGGUUGGUUAGCAAAGUAGGCAAUUUGAUUUGUCCCCUAAGUAGCUUCUAUUUGUAGAAUGAAUUCGUCCAUUAUAAUUCUCCAUAAUGCUUUAGGUAGUCUAUGCAGAAAUUACUUGAUGUUCCUUGUCUCGACGCUUUUACAAAAUUCUGCAAAUUAGUCAA